CCAGUCCACUCACCGCCGCCGCCAAAGCAAGUCCACCACUCACCACCGCCGCCAAAGCCAGUCCACCACCACCCACCGCCUCCUCCUGCCCCGCAGCCGCAUCCAAUGUGCCCCCCGCCGCCGCCCUGCACCUGUCCGCCACCAGCAUUGCCACCGCCGCCACCCUAUUACCCCGGCACAUUGCCACCUGUGUCCCGUGCAGAAUAUGGAUCACCACCACCGCCACCCUAUAACCCCGACCCAUUGCCACCCGUCACCUGGGCAGAAUAUGGAUCACCGCCACCGCCUUCACGGCAGUGAUGCACAUAGAUUCUCCAAAAAAGAAAAACAUCAUCUGAAGGAAGACAUGGUUUUGCUCUCCCUCCUUACCUCUGUCCAUGGAUGGCAAGCUCACCAAUUUACGUAGUCAUUGUCAUGCUUAGCUGCUAGUGUUCUUGAUCGAUGGCUACCGCCGCGAAGACUUAGUUGCAAGGUGGGCGGAAUUUUCUGGAUUAUGAUUUGUCGCCUGCGCAUCCAGACGAUUUGUGCUGUGGUGUUGAAAGGGAUUGGAGAAUAGGCUGCAGAUUGAAGGCAAAUUUGGUUGUGAAUAAUAAGAGUUUGAGAGGGACAGAAGAGGAUUUGUGAGUGAGUGAGUGAGUGGAUUGUAGGUGCAGCAGGGAUAUAGUAUGUGUGGGGUGUAUAGAGAGAAGCAUGAGUUCAGUUCAAUUUAGCUAAAUUCAGUCAGACAUAAGUUUAGAACAAGAGAUUUUCAGGGUGUUUUCUCUUCCUUUUGCAUCCCAGUUACUUCUUGGUUAUUCGAUUAUUGUAUUUUUUAGUCAGCAUUUCUUAGCUUUCUUCUUAUGCUAAGUGUUUUAACCCGAUCACUUUGACGAAUUGUCUCAUGUCUUUCCUAUUCCUCUGAUGUGUUUCCAGAGUAGAAAUAUUGGAAACAUAUUCUGCUCUGAAUAAUUAGGGGAAAACACCUGCUGUUAUGGUUCUGAGACAUGGUUCAGCUGAUAGUGAUAGGCACUGUGAGGAUUUAGCCUGUGCCGUCGAACUUCAUUCGGAAAAUUAUUCUAAUGCCCCUUCUGUAUCAAAAUUCUAGAAUUCGUCUAAUACUUCCUCUGUAUCAAAAUGUAACAAGUUUUCUGACACUGCAUAGUGUUAAAAAACGUACUGUCCCCAAGUCCUACGUUUAUGAGUGUCCUGCAUCUGAGUUCCUUUUCAUUUGCCCUGCCUACUGUAGCAGGAUGUUAGAACUAUAUAGAUGUAAAUUUGCACAGUAACUUUGCAAGCAUAUUACUCACGAGAGAAUCUACGAAAGCCGCUGAAGUACGUACGAUGACUAGAUCGGUGCAACUUUGCCCGUAUCCUUUUUUCUUGAUAAGGCAUGGUCGAGGUGCUGGUGAGAUCUGGCGCUCCUG
rnacentral:lncRNA from 1 species